GCAAUAACUCUUAGUGGCGAACGGGUGAGUAACGCGUUGGUGACCUGCCCCGAAGACAGGGAUAACAGUUCGAAAGGACUGCUAAUACCCGAUGAGGUUGCGGAGGUUAGAGGCUCUGCAACGAAAGGAGCAAUCCGCUUUGGGAGGGGCCUGCGUCCCAUCAGCUAGUUGGUAAGGUAAAAGCUUACCAAGGCGAAGACGGGUAGGGGACCUGAGAGGGUGAUCCCCCACACUGGCACUGAAACACGGGCCAGACACCUACGGGUGGCAGCAGUAGGGAAUAUUGCACAAUGGGCGAAAGCCUGAUGCAGCAACGCCGCGUGCGCGAAGAAGGCCUUCGGGUUGUAAAGCGCUUUUCGGGGAGAUGAGGAAGGGCAGUAUCCCCGGAAUAAGGCUCGGCUAACUACGUGCCAGCAGCCGCGGUAAAACGUAGGAGCCAAGCGUUAUCCGAAUUCACUGGGCGUAAAGCGCGUGCAGGCGGCCUGGUAAGUUGGAUGUGAAAUCUCCUGGCUCAACUGGGAGAGGCCGUUCAAUACUGUCAGGCUAGAGGGCGACAGAGGGAGGUGGAAUUCCGGGUGUAGUGGUG
rnacentral:rRNA from 1 species